rnacentral:rRNA from 1 species
GACGAACGCUGGCGGCGUGCCUAAUACAUGCAAGUUGAGCGCUGAAGGUUGGUACUUGUACCAACUGGAUGAGCAGCGAACGGGUGAGUAACGCGUGGGGAAUCUGCCUUUGAGCGGGGGACAACAUUUGGAAACGAAUGCUAAUACCGCAUAAAAACUUUAAACACAAGUUUUAAGUUUGAAAGAUGCAAUUGCAUCACUCAAAGAUGAUCCCGCGUUGUAUUAGCUAGUUGGUGAGGUAAAGGCUCACCAAGGCGAUGAUACAUAGCCGACCUGACAGGGUGAUCGGCCACAUUGAGACUGAGACACGCCCCAAACUCCUACGGGAGGCAGCAGUAGGGAAGCUUCAGCCAUGGACGAAAGGCUGACCGAGCAACGCCGCGUGAGUGAAGAAGGUUUUCGGAUCGUAAAACUCUGUUGGUAGAGAAGAACGUUGGUGAGAGUGGAAAGCUCAUCAAGUGACGGUAACUACCCAGAAAGGGACGGCUAACUACGUG